CCCCAGAUGUUGCUGAACUACAACUCCCAUGAUUCUCUGGCUAUCUAUUUAAUUCAAAGAAUCAUGGGAGUUGUAGUUCAGCAACAUCUGGGG